AUUGAACGCUGGCGGCAGGCCUAACACAUGCAAGUCGAGCGGAUCGUCGGACGGGUGAGUAAUGCCUAGGAAUCUGCCUGGUACUGGGGGAUAACGUCCGGAAACGGGCGCUAAUACCGCAUACUAUCAGAUGAGCCUAGGUCGGAUUAGCUAGUGGGUGGGGUAAAGGCCUACCAUGGCGACGAUCCGUAACUGGUCGGAGAGGAUGAUCAGUCACACUGGAAAGGAGACACGGUCCAGACUCCUACGGGAGGAAGCAGUGGGGAAUAUUGGACAAGGAGGGAAAGCCUGAUGCAGCCAGGCCGCGGGUGUGAAGAAGGUCUUCGGAUGGUAAAGCACUUUAAGUUGGGAGGCGUUACCAACAGAAUAAGCACCGGCUAACUUCGUGCCAGCAGCCGCGGUAAUAC
rnacentral:rRNA from 1 species